CGAACGUACACAACCUUCCGAUGAGUGGGGAAUAGCCCAGAGAAAUUUGGAUUAAUACCUCGUAACAUAUAGAGUAGGCAUCUUCUUUAUAUUAUAGCUUCGGCGCUUAUUGAUGGGUGUGCGUCUGAUUAGGUAGUUGGCGGGGUAACGGCCCACCAAGCCUACGAUCAGUAGCUGAUGUGAGAGCAUGAUCAGCCACACGGGCACUGAGACACGGGCCCG
rnacentral:rRNA from 1 species